rnacentral:rRNA from 1 species
UACGUAGGGUCCGAGCGUUGUCCGGAAUUAUUGGGCGUAAAGGGCUCGUAGGCGGUCCGUCACGUCGGGAGUGAAAACUCAGGGCUCAACCCUGAGCGUGCUUCCGAUACGGGCGGGCUAGAGGUAUGCAGGGGAGAACGGAAUUCCUGGUGUAGCGGUGGAAUGCGCAGAUAUCAGGAGGAACACCGGUGGCGAAGGCGGGUCUCUGGGCCGAUACUGACGCUGAGGAGCGAAAGCGUGGGGGAGCGAACAGG